AUUCCUGUACUACAGUAUGACAGAACUGUGGGGACGCAGAAGGAGAGCACUACCUGGAAUGGAAUCCAGGGGCAAGCACAGGAGGGGUACGGCUGGAAAAACCGCCGUUCAACCCAAAGGUGUGACGCAUACCGAACUAAAGUAGGGAAAUGUGUGAGCCGGCUGCCGAGAAAGCCGCUAUUGUUUGUACUGUACCCGUACCGUAAACCGACACAGGUGGAUGAGGAGAGAAUCCUAAGGCCGACGGAAGAAGCAUUGCUAAGGAACUCGGCAAAAUGACCCUGUAACUUCGGGAGAAAGGGUGCCUCGAAAGAGGCCGCAGAGAAUAGGCCCAAGCAACUGUUUAGCAAAAACACAGGUCUAUGCAAAACCGCAAGGUGAAGUAUAUGGGCUGACGCCUGCCCGGUGCUGGAAGGUUAAGGGGAGAUGUCAGGAGACGAAGCAUCGAACUUAAGCCCCAGUAAACGGCGGCCGUAACUAUAACGGUCCAAGGUAGCGAAAUUCCUUGUCGGGUAAGUUCCGACCCGCACGAAAGGCGUAAUGAUUUGGGCGCUGUCUCGGCAAUGCAUCCGGUGAAAUUGAAGUGCCAGUGAAGAUGCUGGCUACCCGCGCCAGGACGGAAAGACCCCAUGGAGCUUUACUCCAGCUUGAUACUGGGAUUCGGUAUUGUAUGUACAGGAUAGGUGGGAGGCUGAGAAAUGGUGACGCCAGUCGCCAUGGAGCCGCUGUUGGGAUACCACCCUUGCAGUACUGGAUUUCUAACCAGCAGCCGUGAUCCGGCUGGGGGACAAUGUCAGGUGGGGAGUUUGACUGGGGCGGUCGCCUCCGAACGGGUAUCGGAGGCGCUCAAAGGUUCCCUCAGAAUGGUCGGAAACCAUUCGAAGAGUGCAAAGGCAGAAGGGAGCUUGACUGCGACACCGACGGGUGGGGCAGGUACGAAAGUAGGACUUAGUGAUCCGGUGGUAUUAAGUGGGAAUGCCAUCGCUCAACGGAUAAAAGCUACCCUGGGAUAACAGGCUUAUCACUCCCAAGAGUUCACAUCGACGGAGUGGUUUGGCACCUCGAUGUCGGCUCAUCGCAUCCUGGGGCUGUAGUAGGUCCCAAGGGUUGGGCUGUUCGCCCAUUAAAGCGGUACGCGAGCUGGGUUCAGAACGUCGUGAGACAGUUCGGUCCCUAUCCGGCGUGGGCGUAGGAUAUUUGAGAGGAGCUGACCUUAGUACGAGAGGACCGGGUUGGACUGACCUCUGGUGCACCGGUUGUCAUGCCAAUGGCACAGCCGGGUAGCCAAGUCGGGAAGGGAUAAACGCUGAAGGCAUCUAAGCGUGAAGCCCCCCUCAAGAUGAGAUAUCCCCCGCAUAAGCGGUAAGACCCCUUGAAGACGACGAGGUAGAUAGGGCAGAGGUGGAAGUGCAGUAAUGUAUGGAGCUGACUGCUACUAAUAGGUCGAAGGCUU
rnacentral:rRNA from 1 species